UGUGUGUGUGUGUCAGAAAGUGGGUGUGUGUGUGUGUGUGUGUGUGUGUGUGUGUGUGUGUGUUCUCGUUUAACUAUAUUCGUGGGGUCCAAAAGCCAGGAGUUCAGUAAACUUGUGGGGUCCCGACAGCUUUGCAUCAUGUCAAUUACAGGUCCCCACAAAGAUGGUGCCAUGCACUGUGUGUGUGUGUGUGUGUG